CAAGCUUUUCUUUAUACUGUGUUCACAGGAGCAUCUCCAGAUCCGUACAUCAGGAUACUGAAUCCCACAGAGGAUGGAGCUCUGCUGCAGUGUGAAGUUCGAGGUGCUUCUCCUAAACCUAAAGUAGAGUGGAAGGACAGUGCUGGAAACAUCCUUCCUGCUGAGGAGACACAGGUCUCAGACAGAGGAGGACGUUACUACGUUACCCUCCUCACCACUGUGACCAAGACCGACCACUACCGCUGUGUAGUCACACAGGAGGAAAUCCACCAUCAGACUCAUUCUGAGACCUACGUGUUCAUCAAUGAGAAACUGUGUGAGGAAUCAUCCAGCAAAGAGCUCAUUGGAUGGUUGGGUGGAUUGUUUAGUGGAUUGGUUUUAGGAGUUUUAAUUCUUGCUGCAGUUCAGUUUGUUCUUGUGGCUACAAAGCGCAUCAUAAUACGUCGUAAUGAAGGUAAGUUUAUAUAAUGUAUCAACAGAUCCAUAAUGUGCAGACAUCAACAUAACAUCCACUGAGACUAUCAGGUCCAGAGACAGUUUGUGUUUGUCUUCUCAGAUAUGAACCGUUCUGUUAGAUAAGAUAAGAUAAGAUAAGAUAUACCUUUAUUAAUCCCCUGUAGGAGAAAUUCAAGUUUGUAUUUACAUGAGACCUGCAGCCAUAUUUAUAAUGAAGUAAUUGAUCAAUUGAGCCAAAAAUGGUAAACAUGGUUCCUAUGGAGCCCUCAGAGGAGCAUAUGAUGGUAAACAUAUUGGCAUAUUAUUGAACUAUUUUAUGAUCUUUUAUAGUUUGAGAACAUAAAGUUUAAAGUCACUCAUUCAUUUACAGGUGUAUCUCAAUAAAUUAGAAUAUCAUGGAAAGGUUCAUUGGUCUCAGGGUAACACUGAACAUUGAGAGUCAUCUGUAAAACAAAUGAAUUCAUCAGCUGACUAAAAACAGCUUUUGAAUCUCCACUGUGUACAGUUUGCAGACUUUUGACAAACAGAUUCUUCUCUGUAAUAUAAAAGUUAACUUUAUGUAAUAUAUACUUUUUUCUUCUCUGCAGGUUCUCAUCAGCAGAGCAACGGUGCUUCUAAGGCUCCUUCUAACGGUUCUUCUAACGGUUCUUCUAAAGAUUCUUCUAAAGAUUCUUCUGACGGUUCUUCUGACGGUUCUUCACAGCCACUUAACCCACCACCUGUUUGAUAGGUUCAUGUUGUGGAGGGGUGUGUGCUGUACAGUGUACAUGUGCAAUCUACAACCACUUUGUCUUCCUACCCUUCAAUACUCUGCAGUAAUCAGAUGGAGUUGAUGAGUUGCACCUCGACCGUGAAUACCACCACAGUAACUGCUUGUAAACCAACUUGACCCAAAGGCUCAUGUUGGAGCAGGAAUUGGACGUGAAAUCAGGGGAAAUGAACAACAUCAAUCAAGAUUACAGGUUUAUUAGGAUUACAGGACGUUUUCCUCAGGUAAAUUCUGCCAAAGUGUUUUAUAUCUGUGCCACUUAAUGUUAGGUUAGUGUUGAUACCUACACUCUCUACGGUCUUAGAUAUAUUUCAACAUAAGGCAGCUCAAACAACAAAGACCAUUUUUAUUACAGGGCUUUUGUAUGAAUGAAUUGUAUUGUCAUGUAUUUCCUCUCACACUGUUGUCCAUGAAGACUCAAAAUGUAACUUUAUGCUGGACUGUUACAUGUAUUAUAGCACAUAAAUGAAUGAGGUGAAGCAACAGACAACUCAACAAAACAGGAAAAAACUAAAUAAUGAGGGAACAAAACUGAUAAAACUAAAGAGACAUAAAGAUCAUAUUGUAUGACAUUAAAUCCACAUUUUUAUUUCUCAAAGGUUUCAGAACAAAAAGGUCAGGUACACUAAAUAGAUAUAUAUUAAUGACACUGUAACAGAGCAGAGAGAUAGUGGGUUGAUUCGUCAGAACUACAGAUUCCUGAAUCUAUGAUGUGUGUGAAUAUAAAGUAACUUGUAGCUUAAUCAUGCUGUGCCUUAAAACAAGAGACAAAACUUAAAUUCAAACAAAAUGAAGCUUGUGAAGUGAAGCAGUAAUGGUUGAUAUCAUGGAUGUUGAGCAUUAAUAGUCUGAAUGAGCUUGUGAGAAGAGACUCUGAAUCUAGACGACUGUCAGAGUCCAGAUGAGAAGAGAUGGACACAAAAGACUUUUCUCAGAUCUGAGAUUGUAAUAAACAUUAAUGCAGAUCAGAUUCCUAACUGAAGGAAAAAGGGAAACGAUUGUAAAGAGAAGGUAGAGUUAAACUCACUGGUUUUAAUUCUUAAAAAGGUCUAUUGACAUGGGAGGUCCAGCUGAACUUGCCUGUAAAUAUUUUAUAGUAUAUAUUGUCAGCUAUCUUCUGUGUUGCUUCAAUGUGCCUUGUUGUGUUUGUCCACUGUAAUAUACUCUGACUGAAUGUGUAUUAUUGAUGCUGACUGCCAUUACAGAUAGUGAGCAUACACACACAUUAUAAAAGAUGGUGUGUGUUUGCUAUUAGUUAUUUUUAUUGGAAGUUUCAUGUUUUUAUUCAAGUAACAUACUGAAUUAUAGUUUGACCAAACCAGCUGUGCUUUCACAAAGUUUUCAAUGUUUCCAAGGUGUCUCUCUCAUAUUGGUGCUUUGUUAAAUUUCCUAAGCAAUAGUGAGGCAUUACAAUCAUCAUGACUGACACUACGAUUGUGUAAAUAAACUUUUUGAACAAACCUUCCUGAUGGAUGACUGGAUGCUUUUAUUUUGAUGUGAUUAUUGAUCUGCUGCAGCAGCUGUUUUUGAAUACUUAAAGUCUUACUGAAGACUAAAAACAAGUUCUAUAAAGUCAUUUUAUAUUCAUAUUGUGAGUAAUAGAGUUAAGAUGAGUGAUUUCUAAGGCUGAACAACAGCUGCUACAGAGGUCCUGGUUAGUUCUGUUUCUGUGUGAAGCUUUAAGCUGUUGGGUUUUUGGCUGCUGGACAUUUGGUUAAUGACUCUCCCUCACUGAUCUUCAGGUUAAAUGUACUACAAGCAGUUUAAGUGGUUAUGAAACAGUCUCAGUUUAAUACUGAUGUCUCUAUAUGACCGACACAAACAGAGAGGAGAUUGGCUGGUUCUAUACAGUUACUCUGGAUGGAUGACACCGGGUCAGAUUUGGUUGAAUUCUCUUGAAAUCAAUAAAACAAAGAGGUGGAAACACUACCACUUUUAACCACAUGGGGUCACCAGAUCAACACAGAAUCAAAGUCCCUUGUUGCUGCUUUAAGAUCACAAACUAAUUAAGAUUGAUCAUAGAAUUAAAACUCCUAAAAACAGAAUCCUCCUGAUUCAAAAGAUGACUGGAUUUGUUUGCUGCUUGUUACUAUGUUACUGUUGUAGCUGCUCCAGGUGGAGGUAAUUUAACUAACUACAAGCUUGUUCAUUCAGUGGUUCUCAACCUAGGGUCAGUCCCCUCCAAAAGGGUCACCAGAUAAACCUGAGGGGCUGUGAGAUGAUUAAUGGGAGAGGAAAGAACACUGUGCACUGCAGUGAUUCCUGUAUUUGAACUGUCAGAAACUGAUUAAAGUGAAACUAAUGCAGAUUCUCCUCCAGGAUUUUCUGGCUUAAGAAAAGUAACAGGACAGAUGUACAGACCUGGAUCAAGGACUAACAGAGGCUCAGGCGAUCGGUUGUAUUUGUGUGUGAAAUAAAAUGAUUAAAAUGGCUCAAAUCAAUCAGUGUGACACAGUACCAACAGUUUCAAAGGCCCUCUGCUGUUGUUCCACCUUUGGGAGGAGCCGAGCUUUCUCCUCCAACAUCAGUGCCUGACCUCAUAAAUGCUCUUUUAGCUGAAUGUGCAAAACCUCCCAGAAGAGUUGCGGCUGUUGGAGCGUUGCUGCAUGUCUUUCUGUCCGCGCCUUGAGUCUAGGUUUAGGUUGGAGGGGGUAGCAGUAUCUCAGCUCUGGUGUUUAGUGUAGUUCUUGGUAGUAGUUUGAUAAUUCCUGAUUUUGUGUAUUCAAGUUAUAUAGAUAUACUCAUUGUUGGAUGUUAUGAUUAAUUCUUUGAAUGCAUAAAUUAUCUAUACAUAGAGUCUUAAAUAUUUGAACUCACAUGCAGUCUCAUGUUCAUUUAUUAAAAUAUAUGUGUGCUCAUUAUUUUACUAAUUUGUUUGUUUAGGUAUAUAUUCAUUUUUAACAUUGUGCACAUUCCCCUUUAAUAGAUAAUCAUCUUUUGUUAUUGUACUAAUUUUACAUCAUAAUCUUACUUAAUUAAUUCAAAUGUUGUUAGUGUUUACUAAUUAUCUUUCACCGUGUUAAUGAUCUUAAGUAAGCCUCAGUUGCUCUGUGUGUGUGUGUGUGUGUGUGUGUGUGUGUGUGUGUGUGUGUGUGUGUGUGUGUGUGUGUGUGUGUUAGAGCAGCACCUGCUUAAGACUAUGGACGAAACAGAUGAUUGUCUCAGGGGGGUUUAUAUGUUUGUAUCUGUGUUACACACAACACCCUCUAUCCUUGGAAUGAACCUCUAUAUUCAUAAAGGUCGGGAUUAACAGAAAUGUGCAGUAGGUAGUAGUGCGCAUGCUCUCACUCAUGCAUAGCUCCCGCAAAGGAAACAGCGACACCAGGUGGUCAGAUCAUGAAAUAAAGCUCAGUCCUCGUGAAAUAUAAAAUACACACAGAUUAAAUAUAAAACGCACAUUAUCACUACAUUUCAGUAUGUGCCUUAGUGUGGAUGGCCUAUAGUUUUAUUAUUAUUAUUAUUAUUAUUAUUAUUAUUAUUAUUAUUAUUAUAAGAUUACAAAAACAAAACUUGGUCCUACUUGGACACCGUGGGACACAGUAUCUCAACAAAUGUUAAAAAUGCACAAAGCAGUCUGAGUACUAAAUCAACUAAGCUCCCCGCGCCCCGGGAAAAUAUUGUGCCAGACUCCCUUUAAGAAACACGUCAUUUUAACCAUUCCUAACGUGUCCGUAAAACACAGAAUUCUAGAAACACGAGAUAAAGGAUGUGAUAUGUCGACUGUCUUCUUGUCAGUUCGGUAAUAAUAUUAUGUAUGAAGACAGACUGUUGUCCCUGUGCAUUUAGGAUUGUGCUGCCUCCGCUGGCUGUCAGCCUCCAUUGGUUCGCUGUGUUAUUGUAGUUGGAGUAGACUGUGGGGAUGAGAGGGGGGGCCGUUUUAAAAAAAUA
ensembl:lncRNA